ACCCCUAUAACGCAAUGGAUAGCGCGUUGGACUUGUUUUCCAAAGGUCGUGUGUUCUAGUCCUACUUGGGGUG